rnacentral:rRNA from 1 species
AAUCAACGCUGGCGGCGUGCCUCAGACAUGCAAGUCGAACGAUUAAAGCUCUCUUCGGAGAGUGUAUAGAGUGGCGCACGGGUGAGUAACACGUAAGUAAUCUACCCUCGAGUGGGGAAUAACAACCGGAACGGUUGCUAAUACCGCAUAAUGCAGCGGCACCGCAAGGUGACAGUUGUUAAAGAUUUAUCGCUUGAGGAGGAGCUUGCGGCAGAUUAGCUAGUUGGUAGGGUAACGGCUUACCAAGGCUACGAUCUGUAACCGGUCUAAGAGGACGGUCGGUCACACUGACACUGAAUAACGGGUCAGACUCCUACGGGAGGCAGCAGUCGGGAAUUUUGGGCAAUGGGCGAAAGCCUGACCCAGCAACGCCGUGUGAAGGAUGAAGUAUUUCGGUAUGUAAACUUCGAAAGAAUAGGAAGAAUUAAUGACGGUACUAUUUAUAAGGUCCGGCUAACUACGUGCCAGCAGCCG